AUUGAACGCUGGCGGCAUGCCUUACACAUGCAAGUCGAACGGCAGCAUGAUCUAGCUUGCUAGAUUGAUGGCGAGUGGCGAACGGGUGAGUAAUACAUCGGAACGUGCCCUGUAGUGGGGGAUAACUAGUCGAAAGAUUAGCUAAUACCGCAUACGACCUGAGGGUGAAAGUGGGGGACCGCAAGGCCUCAUGCUAUAGGAGCGGCCGAUGUCUGAUUAGCUAGUUGGUGAGGUAAAGGCUCACCAAGGCGACGAUCAGUAGCUGGUCUGAGAGGACGAUCAGCCACCCUGGGACUGAGACACGGCCCAGACUCCUACGGGAGGCAGCAGUGGGGAAUUUUGGACAAUGGGCGAAAGCCUGAUCCAGCAAUGCCGCGUGUGUGAAGAAGGCCUUCGGGUUGUAAAGCACUUUUGUCCGGAAAGAAAUGGCUCUGGUUAAUACCUGGGGUCGAUGACGGUACCGGAAGAAUAAGGACCGGCUAACUACGUG
rnacentral:rRNA from 1 species